GUUUAAAAUGUGUCUGUAUCAUUCAUUGAUCUAUAUAUCAUUUAAAAUGUGUCAUUGGAUAUGUUCACGUCUAAAAUAAAAUGUUACAAAUUUUCCCACUUACCUAUUAUUAUAUAAGUAUAAUUUUAUAAGAUUAUAAGACCAUAUACAGAUGGGUGACAAAAUAAUACGUACAUGCGUGAAAUAUCAGAAAAUCUUUAUUAAUAGGGAGUUGGACCACCCUUUGACUGAAUUACAGAUUUAAUACGAGGUGGGAUCGAUGCAUAAAGGUCAUGGACAACGUUUAAAGGAAUAUUAAGCCAUUCCUCUUGCAAAGCGGCCUCUAAUUCCAAAAGAUUUGAUGGAGGUGGGAAUCGGGAACGAAGUUUAGACUCCAAAUAUUGCCACAAAUGUUCAAUAAUAUUUAAGUCCGGAGACUGAGGGGGCCAGGCGAGAUGCUCAACUUCAUUGUCAUGCUCUUCGAACCAUGUUUGAGUGCACCUAGCGGUGUGGAUAGGGGCGUUGUCGUCUUGAAAACAGUCUGUGCAGUCUUGAAAACAGUCUCUCCAGGGAAUACAGUCUGUGCAAAAGGAUGAGCAUGAUCCGCUAGAACGCUUAGAUAGUCAUUAGAUUUGAUUCUCCCAUGCAGACGUACUAGUGGCCCAAGACCACGCCAAGAUAUCGCACCCCAAACCAUAAUGGAGCCACCUCCAUGCUUCACAGUUGGUACAAGGCAUUCAGGAUCAAACGCUUCUUUGGGUGAUCUCCAGACAUAAACGCGUCCGGUGGUCUGAAAUAAGGUGAAGGAUGAUUCAUCGGACCAUAUUACCUGCUGCCACUGCUGUGGGGACCAGCCUUUGUGACCUCUACACCAAUGACGGCGCUUGAAAGUAUUGGUUGCUAUCACCAAGGGUUUACGAAUUGCCACUCUCCCAUAAAUGUUCACUGUAUGAAGUUCUCUUUGAACAGUUCUUGUUGAAACGGGGCCCUGAAGAUGACUGUUCAUGUCUGAUGUUAUCUCGGAUAACGAUUGCUUGUGUUUUCGAGCUACUACGCGCUGCAAGACACGUCUAUCCCUAUCAUAAAGCUUUGACUUUCGGCCACUGUUUUGCUUUGAAGACUUCGUCUUACCUUCUUUCAUGUAUGCUGUCAUAACGGCUGAUACAGUACUUCUUGCAAACCCCAAAAGGUUUGCUGUUUCUGUCACCGAUGCUCCACUUAAACGCGCCCCAACAAUCAUCCCUCUUUGGAAUUCUGACAGGUCAGACAUUUCACCUUAUAAAAGCUAGUUAGAUAAAUUCAUGCAACACAGGUGACUAAUGUUGAGAGACUGAUAGCUUCCUCUUCACGCUCACUAGGUGGCAGACUUCUGUUGCAAGCGGCGCGGCUGUACUGCAGGUGUGAAAUAAGUCACACUUUUUCACAGGUGUUCGUAUUAUUUUGUCAUCCAUCUGUAUACUUAUACGUACUUAUUUUUUGAUUUCAUUGAGAAGUUUUAUUAUGUUAUAUUGGCUAACUGCCUAUCAUACACAUUGCUUAC